GACUUAGUUCAACGGCCGCGGUAUCCUGACCGUGCGAAGGUAGCGUAAUCACUUGUUCUUUAAAUAAGGACUAGUAUGAAUGGCACCACGAGGGUUAUACUGUCUCCCUUUUUUAAUCAGUGAAACUAAUCUUCCCGUGAAGAAGCGGGGAUAAACAUAUAAGACGAGAAGACCCCAUGGAGCUUUAAACAAACAGCAUAUGCUUACCAUUAUUCUCCUAAAUUAAGUCAAGCAUUUUGUCUGCUAGUUUUCGGUUGGGGCGACCACGGAGAAAAACAAAUCCUCCGCGCUGAAAGAACUUUGUUUCUUAACUACAAGCUACACCUUUAAGUAUCAACAACUUGACAACCCUUGACCCAAUAAUAUUGAUCAACGAACCUAGUUACCCUGGGGAUAACAGCGCAAUCCAUUUCAAGAGCCCCUAUCGACAAAUGGGUUUACGACCUCGAUGUUGGAUCAGGGUAUCCUAGUGGUGCAGCC
rnacentral:rRNA from 1 species